rnacentral:rRNA from 1 species
UACGUAGGGUGCAAGCGUUGUCCGGAAUUAUUGGGCGUAAAGAGCUCGUAGGCGGUUUGUCGCGUCGAAUGUGAAAUCCCGGGGCUCAACCCCGGGUCUGCAUUCGAUACGGGCAGACUAGAGUUCGGUAGGGGAGUCUGGAAUUCCUGGUGUAGCGGUGAAAUGCGCAGAUAGCAGGAGGAACACCGGUGGCGAAGGCGGGACUCUGGGCCGAUACUGACGCUGAGGAGCGAAAGCGUGGGGAGCAAACGGG